GGCAAAGGUCCAGUGAAAUUACACACUUUUUUACGUUUUUAAGGAGGCUGAAGGGUUUUGUUCGAAAUUUUUGUUCAAGAAGUUUACAGAUUGGGAGGAAUGGGAAUUGAGAAAAUAUUAAAGGCUCGAAUCAAGUCAAGCCACAGGUAGAGGUUGACUUCAAAUUGGCAACCAAAGAGCAUGAAGACUCAAUUUCAGAAGAGGCUCAGAUUAUAGAGAUGAAAAGGUGUUCAUGUGGGAGGAUUGCUACCAUCCGGACAUCAUGGACAGAUGACAACCCAGGAAGAAGGUUCUAUUCAUGUCUGUUUAAGCCCAGCAACUACCCUUUCAUUGGUUGGGUCGACCCACUGAUGUGCCUACGGUCAACUAGGAUCAUACUAGGUCUUUUGAGGAACAUCAACAACCUGCAAGCUGAACUGCUUGUCCGUGAGCAAGAAAUUCGGAAGAAGAAGAGGGUUAUAUGGUUACUGAUAUUAGCGUUAGUGAUUGGCAGCUUACUUGUUAGCAUUGUUUGUUGAGGUUU